GGAGGGACGAGGUGUGGAGCAGUCCAACUUCCCCUGUAUACUCACAUGAUCACUGGACACUCUGUUUCUUAGAGAAGAUGCUGCAACAUGAUUCAGCAAAUUGCUUUUGGAUGUUGUUAUUGUUACUGAAAUUUUGUGUGGGUGGACGUCUGGCUGCAUGUAUCCCUGCGUGUGUGUUUUUUACUUCCGCGCAUUUUCUUCAGGGUAGUGGAGAGCACCCUCUCCCUGACUAGAUCUGCAUCACCACCCUGAGUUCUCCCAACGCAGCCCGGAGCCGUUCAACUAUGCAGCCCUGGGCCGUUCAACGAUGGAGUCGACGGCCGUUCAUGAACACAGCACCCCGGAUCCUGCUCCCCACCAUCCAGUUCAACUUCUGCUGAAUCCGGUAAGGGAGAAUUCUUGUGAGAGCAAUUUCCCGUUAACUUUUUGUCAUUCAAAGUUCUAAUUUGUUAGCUACUUCAGCUUUAGCUCGCCUGUGUAUGUGGCUAACAAGGUGGCAUGCAUUCAGCUACGACUUUGUUUUUGUUUCCACAUGUUGCGAGUUGCCAUUUGCCUGAAAAGAUUUAUGUAUACUGGGAUCUCCAUGUACUGAACAUGCUACAAAAAUAUCUCAUGUAGAUUCAUCCCCCUGUUUGAUUCUUGUUGUAGUUCAAGCAGCCACAAACCAUUGGCAUUUUUUGUGUGAUGCUCCACGUCUUAUAAGUGUCCACUCUAAAAAAAGAUUUUUUUGCAAUAUAAGUGUGAACUUCUCCGUUUCAAUGCACCUAAAAUAAGUACGUAUUUUUGGGUCAGCACUAAAUAGAUUAGGAAUUCUUUGGAAGUUCAAAGAUUAUAGUCUGGAGAGUUCAGUCAUUGGAUUUUGGGAAGAAUGUGUCUUACUGAUAAAAAAUGAACAGAGAAAAAAUACAAAAUAGGUUUUGGUUAGUACUAAAAAGGUUAGGAAUUGUUUGGCGUUGGCGGGGUGUUGGAGUGUUACUACUACUUGGUUCACUUUCAUUUCAAGGGGAUUGCUUGAAGCUAUCUUUGAAGCUAUAAACAUAGUUGUCUUGAUUUCAAAUAGCGGUCCAUGGGAAGAAAAUUGAGCUAUGAAGCUGAGCUUGUUGUUAUGCCUCUGAUCGUCCACCUCUUUCCUGUAGGUGUUGAUCCUGGUGCUUGUCGCCAUUUACGAGGAAGAUAGUCGGUCUUUGAGCUGGUGAUGAUCUUGCUGUUGCUGGGAUGCUAUUCAACACGAGGGUGUGGUCUCCCUUGAGGUGCA
rnacentral:lncRNA from 1 species